GAUGAACGCUGGCGGCGUGCCUAACACAUGCAAGUCGAGCGGCAACGCGGGGUGCUUGCUCCCUGUCGGCGAGCGGCGGGCGUCUGAGUAACGUGUGGUAACGUCCCCCAAAGUGAGGAGUAACUGACCGGAAGGGUAGCUAAUACCGCAUCUUCUCUUCGGAUCAAAGGGUUGUUCAGCUUGGGAAGCUGCUCGAGGCGUCUUAGGUAGUUGGUGAGGUGGUGGCUCACCAGGCCGACGAGCCGUAGCGGGUCGGAGAGGAUGACCAGUCAGACUGGGACAGAGACACGGCCCAGACGCGUAGGAGAGGCGGCAGUGAGGAAUCUUCCACAAUGGGCGAGAGGCUGAUGGAGCACGGCCGCGAUGAGGGCGAAGGCGUUCGGAUUGGAAACUGCUUUUAUAAGUGAGGAAUAUGACGGUAACUGAUGAAGAAGGAUCGGCUAACUACGUG
rnacentral:rRNA from 1 species